GGGAAAAACAAACUGCUCAUGCUGCCUUUUGAAGAUGCAGAGUGCUGGACUUAAAUGACAGGAGUAACAACAUGCUACAUGUACACACUUGGUCUAUUUUUAUGUUUGCAUCAGGAUUUCAGAUUUAUCUCCAAGUACCUCAAACUGUCAUUUUAACAUGAGCAUCCUGGAGCACAGUUCCGUGACAAGAGGCACCGAAGUGAGACUGACAGGCCUGUAAUUGCCAGGAUCUUCCUUCUUGCCCUUCUUGAAAACUGAGACCACAUUUGCCAGCUUCCAGUCAACUGAGACCUCUCUAGAUUCCCAAGACCAUUGAAAAAUAAUUGAGAGAGGUCCCACGAGGACAUCAGCCAGCUUUCUGAGUACCCUGGGAUGAAUCAGGCCCCAUGGACUUAUACGCAUCCAACUAGAGCAGCAAAUCCCUCACAAGUGCAGGGUUGGUUGGGAGUUUAUCAUUCCUGCAGUUACAGUCCUCCGACUCAGGACAGCUGGGAUUCCAGAGCCCAUCAUCAGUGCUGAAGACAGAGUCAAAAAAUGCAUUAAAUAUCUCUGCUUUGUCUA